CGGCGGACGGGUGAGUAAUGCCUAGGAAUCUGCCUGGUAGUGGGGGACAACGUUUCGAAAGGAACGCUAAUACCGCAUACGUCCUACGGGAGAAAGCAGGGGACCUUCGGGCCUUGCGCUAUCAGAUGAGCCUAGGUCGGAUUAGCUAGUUGGUGAGGUAAUGGCUCACCAAGGCGACGAUCCGUAACUGGUCUGAGAGGAUGAUCAGUCACACUGGAACUAAGACACGGUCCAGACUCCUACGGGAGGCAGCAGCC
rnacentral:rRNA from 1 species